GGCGUGGUAGCAAAGUGGUUAAUGCGAUUGACUCGAAUCCUUAAUUCGCUAUCAAUUUCCUUCGGGAGCGCAAGUUCGAAUCUUGUCCACGUCG